UGGGGAAUAUUGGACAAUGGACCAAGAGUCUGAUCCAGCAAUUCUGUGUGCACGAUGAAGUUUUUCGGAAUGUAAAGUGCUUUCAGUUGGGAAGAAAAAAAUGACGGUACCAACAGAAGAAGUGACGGCUAAAUACGUGCCAGCAGCCGCGGUAAUACGUAUGUCACGAGCGUUAUCCGGAUUUAUUGGGCGUAAAGCGCGUCUAGGUGGUUAUGUAAGUCUGAUGUGAAAAUGCAGGGCUCAACUCUGUAUUGCGUUGGAAACUGUGUAACUAGAGUACUGGAGAGGUAAGCGGAACUACAAGUGUAGAGGUGAAAUUCGUAGAUAUUUGUAGGAAUGCCGAUGGGGAAGCCAGCUUACUGGACAGAUACUGACGCUAAAGCGCGAAAGCGUGGGUAGCAAACAGG
rnacentral:rRNA from 1 species